AGUGCUGCACCUGCACACGUGUAGCGUAACAUAACCUCUACUUUUGACGUUUGUAAUAUUUAUUCGACAGAUAAAAGCUCUGUGAAUAUAUUUCUGUGUUUACUGUAGUUUAUUCUUAGUGCAAAAACACGAUUAUGGCAAAGGUUUCGUGGAAACGUAUUAAGACAACAAGAAGCACGAGAGAGCAGUUGGAAAUGCUCGAUAAAUCGGAAUUGAUCGAUAAGAUAUUACAAUUGGAAGCUCACAACGAGCAACUGAAAUUGACUAUUACGAAACGUACGGAUACUAAAAUGAAGAAAAAAGAGACAUCAGGGAAAGUAAGAAAAUCAUUUGAUUUUUCACGAUGUCACAAAAGGCACAUUCUGCUAAAGUUUUAUUAUCUUGGUUGGGACUAUCACGGUUUUGCCGUACAGGAAGAUAAUACUGAUACCAUUGAACAUCAUCUAUUCGCAGCUCUGCUAAAAAGCUGCUGUAUAGAAUCCCGCGAGAGCUCAAAUUACCAUCGUUGCGGACGAACUGAUAAAGGUGUCAGCUCCUUCUCUCAAGUAAUCUCAUUGGACGUACGCAGUAGAUUAGAACCAGAAAAGCAAGACGACCUAUCUGAUGAAUUGUCAUAUUGUAAAAUAUUGAACAGAUUACUACCAGCAAACAUAAGAUGUAUAGCAUGGUGUCCGGUCUCAUCCAGUUUCUCUGCAAGAUUUGACUGCAAGUUUAGAAGCUAUAAAUAUUUCUUCCCAAGAGGCAAUCUAGAUAUAGAGGCUAUGAACAAAGCUGCCAAGUAUGUCGUAGGGGAUCAUGAUUUUCGUAACAUUUGUAAAAUGGAUGUAGCUAAUGGUGUAAUUAAUUUUAAAAGAACUGUAAUGGAUGCAAGAGUAAGCUUUCUUAAUGAUCAGAAUGCAGAAAAGUCAACAGGCUACGAUAUGUGUGAAUUAGAAAUCACAAGUCAAGCCUUUCUUUGGCAUCAAAUUCGUUGUUUAAUGGGUAUCCUGUUGUUGGUUGGACAAAGGAAAGAAGAGCCUGAAAUAAUCUUGAAGCUCCUGGACAUUGAGACUUGUCCACAGAAACCACAGUACAAUAUGGCUCAUCAAGUUCCAUUGAAUCUCUGGUAUUGUGAUUAUGAAAGCAUAAAUUGGUUUAUAGACGAAAAUGAAUUAUUAAACAUUAUCAAAGUAUUACAACAGGAUUGGGCUCUCAACACUAUAAAAUCUACAAUGAUUAAAAAUAUGUUGAUGAAAUUGGAAAAUUUCGUUAAUUGUGUAAAUACUGAUUUUCAAAGUGAUUGUCUACUUCUCGGAGUACAAUCAAAAAUAUAUCAACCACUGAUGAAGCGAGAAAUGUGUGACAGUUUGGAAAAUAAAAUCAAACAUUAUGAGAAGAAACGAAAAUUUGAAGUCAUACAUUCCGAGGUUACAUAGCAUAAUCUAUGCUAAUCACAGAAUUUAUGUAAUAUAUUACACGCAUACUAAUAGUUUUAAAUACAUAUGUUUUUCUCUCUUAAUGAACGCUGUGUUGAAAUAAUGUCGAUAGGCCUGGAAUAAUACAUUCGCGAAAGAACGAGAAAAGUUUAUACGAAGCA